ACUGCCUUGAACGAUUCAGACUCCAUUCUGCUUAUAUCUGUCGUAUAGACCGCAACAGAAAAUUGUUAAUAUGAAUACAAAGUUAUUUUUUUGUGUAUUAGUGCUACAUAUAUUUGCCGUUUUGGGUCAUGGUAUUGAUACGAGGCCUUCGUUAGACAGCGGGAGCGGAAUAAACAAAGAUCACCUUCUACCAGAAACGUGUGGAAGUAUUAUGGAAAAUCGUGUCUUAGGAGGCAAAUACGCUAAACUCUACGAAUUUCCUUGGAUGGCCCGUAUCGCUUAUAAUAAAAAGGAUGGUGCGCGAUUCCAAUGUUCAGGGACGAUUAUCAACUCAAAAUACAUCUUGACUACUGCCCACUGCAUUGUCAACAAAAAUAUUGUAGGUGUGAGGGUGGGAGAUCUCGACCUCAGUAGCGAUACAGACUGCGAGUUUGAACCUGGCUUAUCCGUUGUCUGUGAAAAUCAUAUUCAGGACAUGCGCGUGGAGUUGGCGAUACCCCAUAGCGAGUUUCGCCGGAGGCCACCGACAAAUGACAUUGCGUUGCUGAGAAUAGAGGGCGAGAUCGACUUUAAUCAUCCUAACGUUAAACCAAUUUGUCUACCAAUUACACCGGAACUUCAAAAUAAGGUUCUGGACUUUAAGACUGGUACAGUGGCUGGCUGGGGACUGACGGAAUUAGGCAAACUGAUGAAAGUGGACCUUCCUGUAAAAUCCCACGCAGAUUGCGAAAUGUACAUUCAGAAUAUGAGUAAGAUACGACGGAAUGAAACUUUGAAGAAUCAGUUUUGUGGAGGAGAAUUAGGAAAGGACUCGUGCAUAGGAGGCUCUGGUUGUCCUUUUAUGAUUAAAGACAUCUAUAAAGACGUGAACCGUUAUGUCCAAUAUGGAGUCGAAUCUUAUGGACCUAAUAUUUGCGGCUCUGGACCAGAAUUUUACACUGAUGUAUCAAAAUAUAUCAAAUGGAUACUGGACAAUAUUUCAGAUUAGAUGGCCAUCAGUUCUAUUACAAUAAAAACAUGUAAUGUAAAAUACCCAAAAAAAAUUUUAGAACUACAGGGACCAAACUUUUUAAAUUUGUUAUUUGCUUUGCCACGUUGAAAAUUAUCUGUCUAUUAACAAUUCUUAUAUGUUUUAAAUAAUUACAUUGACUUGGCCAUCGUAUGGAAGCACAAUGUAUCUCAACAGUAAUACAUGUUAUAUUAAAUUAGAUUGUUUAGUGA